UAGCUCUUGUCCAAAACGAUGAAGAAUAUGGCAGCGAACAUCGUUGUGUAGCAUGUGCACAGAUUUGCUUAGCUCCCGCACCAACUUUCAGGUGUAGCAGAUCAUGCAACCACUUCUUUUUACAUAAAUCAUGCGGUGUUAAAUUAUUUUACAACUCUGUAAAUUUUAAGCAUCCUUUUCAUCCCGAACACCCUCUCACCAUCAAAUCCCUUCCAUACAAUGAUCAUAUCCGCACUUGUGAUGCAUGUUGUCGGGGCAUUGAUUCAACACUCUUAACAUAUAGCUGUCGGAAAUCUGAGUGUAAGUUUAACCUUCACUUGGAUUGUUAUAAGCUGCUGCCCUCUAUUACGUUUAGUGGCCAUCAACACCUUCUCACUCUCUUUGAGAAAACAGCCGAUCUUUCUUGCCAUCUUUGUUUUGUGAACUGCUGUAACUUCGUCCUUCGAUGCGUGCCAUGUGACAUUAACAUGCAUCUCCAAUGUCUUCCUUCAGCACCUAAAAAAAUACAGCACAAAUCUCAUCUCCAUCCUUUAAUCCUUACAAAAUCUCCUUUUGAAUAUGAAUUGACCUCAUAUGAAGAAGAGGAUGAAUUUUAUUGUGAUGUUUGUGAGCAAAAAAGAAACCAAAAAGAGUUGAUUUACUAUUGUGAGGAAUGUAAAUUUAUUGCUGAAGUCAAGUGCGUGCUUUCAGAGGUGUUACUAGAAGGAAUUCCAAAAGACAAUAUUGGUGGAACGGAAAUCCAAAAUGGCAUGUGAAAAUUCUCUACGAAAAGUGCACCAAAUUACGUGAAAGACGAGAAGAAUUAGAAGCAAAAAUGAAGCAAUUGAAAGGAGAAUUGGAUGAUGUGACAAAACAGACAGAGAAGACAAAAAAUUUGUUACUUGUUAGACUACGGGGUAGGGGUGUAUAAAAUUCGAGUAAAACUAAAAAAAUUUAGUUAAUCGAUUGAAUUCGGUUAAUCGGUCGGUUAACAGAAUUAAUUAGGUCAGGGGACGGUUAAUAAUUUUUUAAGUUUUCGGUUAACGGUUAAUUUGGUUUGAAA